GGGGACGCGUGGCUUCGACAGGGGAAGUAGACUGCAGAGUUGCAGGCUGAGGUGCCACUACCCUCAUAAAACAAGUGGCGAAAAAUAAACGGCGAACCUGAAUUAGUUCUUGCAGCCUAAUUAAACUGGCUGCACAUCCAACCCGACCUCGCCUCAACGGGUCGGGAUUGGGUGCCGCAAAGUUGAGGUGCCACCGUCCGGACGUCGAUAACGGCGGUGAAAGAACCAUCGACUGGCCUGGCUAAACUCGGUCAGCAGAGGUUAGCCAGGUGAGAUGAAAGAGCUGACUAAGCCUGUAGCAGACUCUGGGUCGCUUCUUCUGGACGGGGAGUUCGACUCUCCCCCGUCUCCACCA
rnacentral:tmRNA from 1 species